GGGAUAUUGAACCAAAGCUAACGGCGGAUGCCAUGGUAGCUUAAGCCGAGGAAGGACGUGUGUAUGAGCACGAUAUCGUCGAUGAGCCCUCAAACAGGCACUAUAGUCGGCGGUUUCCGAAUGGGAUAACCCCGGUCGUCGUAAUACGACUGACCACAUGUCUUCGGAUGUGUGGAGGGAACCCGGUGAACUGAAACAUCUAAGUAACCGGAGGAAGAGAAAUCAGAAUACUCCGAAAGAAAUGGAGGAGUUGAGAUUCCGUGAGUAGCGGCGAGCGAAAGCGGAACAGCCUAAACCCGGUCUUCGGACUGGGGGUUGCGGGACCUACAUACGGGAGAUAUAUUGUUAGAAAAAUGUUUUGGAAAAGACAGCCAAAGAAGGUGAGAGCCCUGUAUUCGAAAACGAUGUAUCCUUAGUAGGAUUCCCAAGUACCACGGGACACGGAAAACCCUGUGNNNNNNNNNNNNNNUGAACAAGUACCGUGAGGGAAAGGUGAAAAGUCCCCCGGCGAGGGGAGUGAAAUAGUACCUGAAACAGUUAGCUAACAAACAGACAGAGUCCCGAUGUAAGUCGGGAUGAUGUCGUGCCUAUUGAAGAAUGAGCCAGCGAGUUUUCGUUGCACUGCAAGUCUAACCAAUCUCAUAUUGGGGAGGCGAAGGGAAACCGAGUCUGAAUAGGGCGUUUUAGCAGAUAGCGAAAGACCCGAAACUGAGUGAGCUAACCAUGGGCAGGGUGAACUUCGAGUAAUAUCGAAAGGAGGCCCGAACCCGUUGUCGGUGUAAUGACUUGGGACGACCUGUGGUUAGAGGUAAUAUGCCAAUCGAACUCAGAGAUAGCUGGUUCUCCCCGAGAUAUAUUUAGGUAUAGCCUUCUUGAGUAACUUAUGGGGUAGAGCACUGGAUAGUCUUUCAAGCCUUUGGUGAGAAAGAUUAACCAAACUCCGAAUACAUAAGCUUUAAAUCAAGAGGAGUCAGGCUUGCUCGGAUAAGCGAGUAUGGUCUAAAGGGAAACAACCCAGACUCCCAUCUAAGGUCUCAAAAUGAUUAUUAAGUGGGAAAGGUUGUGAGGUCUCAAAGACAGACGGGAGGUUGGCUUAGAAGCAGCCACCCUUUAAAGAAAGCGUAACAGCUCACCGUAAUAUACCGGCUUGCCGGUAUGAGAUCUUGCGCCGAAAAUGAUCGAGGCUCAAAUAAUCUACCGAAGAUGGAGAUGCUCGUGUUUUACACGGGCGUGGUAGGGGAGCGUUCCGAUUGCAGUGAAGGUUUGAUGUAAAUCAGAUUGGAGCGAUCGGAAGUGAGAAUGCUGGCAUAAGUAGCGAUUCUCCCGAUGAAAAUUCGGGAUGCCGUAUAUCCAAGGUUUCCUCAGCAACGUACAUCGGCUGAGGGUUAGUCGGAUCUAAGGGCCUCGCCGAAAGGCAGGUCUCGAUGUACAAGCCGUUAAUAUUCGGCUACUUUUGAUAGUGCGUUAUUACUAUUGCAUUGACGAAGUGUGAUAAACAGAGCUUUCUAUAUGGGAGUUCAAGCAGCAAGUUUCGACGAGCUGCGAAUACAACCCUGAUGUAAUGUUAGGGGAGUCUGAUACGUUGCGCUUCCGGGAAAAGAUGUAAUAGGAGUGCUAUCAGAAUCCGUACCGCAAACCGACACAGGUGGAUUGGUAGGGAAUACCAAGGCAAUCGAGUAAGGGUGGUUCAAGGAACUCGGCAAAUCAGCUGAGCGUAACUUCGGGAUAUGCUCUCCCCAACUUCGGUUGGGGCUAAGUAAAUGACUUCCAUCUGACUGUUUAGCAAAAACACAGCUCCCUGCAAACCGGAAACGGGACGUAUAGGGGGUGAGGCCUGUCCAGUGCCGGUAAGUCAAGAAUUGGGGUUGAGGCCGAUUUUUUUAAUAAAUUAUCGGACGAGGCUCUGAUUUAAGCUCC
rfam:Candidatus Roizmanbacteria bacterium RIFCSPHIGHO2_02_FTLL_40_9 rifcsphigho2_02_scaffold_15203, whole genome shotgun sequence.